GUCGAGCGGAUGCGAUGAAGAGCUUCGCUCUUAUGAAUGUCGAGGGGGACGGGUGAGUAUCACGUGGGUAACCUGGCCAGAUGACUGGGAUUACUCCCGGAAACCGGGGCUAAUACCGGAUAACAUUUUGAACAGCAAGGAUCGAAAUUGUCGGGCCGCUUCCCCUGUCACGUAUGGAUGGACCCGCGUCGCAUUAGCGAGGUGGUGAGGCAACGGCUCAACAAGGCCACGAUGCGCAGACAACCUGAGAGGGUGAUCUGCCACUGAGAGACUGAGACAAGGCCCAGACUCCUACGGGAGGCAGAAUUUUGGAAUCUUCCGCAAUGGACGAAGCUCUGACGGAGCGUCGCCGCGUGAGUGAUGAAGGCUUUCGGGUCGUUCACUCUGUUGUUAGGGAAGAACAAGUGCUAGUUGAAUCAGCUGGCACCUUGACGGUACCUAACCAGAAAGCCACGGCUAACUACGUGCCAGCAGCCGCGGUAAUACGUACGUGGCAAGCGUUAUCCGGAAUUAUUGGGCGUAAAGCGCGCGCAGGUGGUUUCUUAAGUCUGAUGUGAAAUCCCACGGCUCACCCGUGGAGGGUCAUUGGAAACUGGGAGACUUGAGUGCAGAAGAGGACAGUGGAAUUCCAUGUGUAUGCGGUGAAAUGCGUAAAGAUAUGCGAGGAACACCAGUGGCGAACGCGACUAUUCUGGUCUGUAACUGACACUGAGGCUGGGAAAGCAUGGGGAGCAAACUACGACUGAGUAUACCCUGGCCAGUCCACGCCGUCAACGAUGAGUGCGUAGCUGUUAGAGGGUUUCC
rnacentral:rRNA from 1 species